rnacentral:rRNA from 1 species
AUUGAACGCUGGCGGAAUGCUUUACACAUGAAAGUCGAACGGCAGCAUAGGUGCUUGCACCUGAUGGCGAGUGGCGAACGGGUGAGUAAUACAUCGGAACGUGCCCAGUCGUGGGGGAUAACGUAGCGAAAGUUACGCUAAUACCGCAUACGAUCUAAGGAUGAAAGCGGGGGACCGUAAGGCCUCGCGCGAUUGGAGCGGCCGAUGUCAGAUUAGGUAGUUGGUGAGGUAAAGGCUCACCAAGCCGACGAUCUGUAGCUGGUCUGAGAGGGCGACCAGCCACACUGGGACUGAGACACGGCCCAGACUCCUACGGGAGGCAGCAGUGGGGAAUUUUGGACAAUGGACGCAAGUCUGAUCCAGCCAUUCCGCGUGCAGGACGAAGGCCUUCGGGUUGUAAACUGCUUUUGUACGGAACGAAAAAGCUCUUACUAAUACUAGGAGUCCAUGACGGUACCGUAAGAAUAAGCACCGGCUAACUACGUGCCAGCAGCCGCGGUAA